GUCCCCGUAGUUUAAUCGGAUAAAACAGCCAUCUCCUAAAGGGCAAAUGCAAGUUCAAUUCUCGCCGGGGAUACCA
rnacentral:tRNA from 1 species